GAGACUCUGUGCGCGUGCAUAUCAAUAAGCGGAGGAAAAGAAACUAACUAAGGAUUCCCUUAGUAACGGCGAGUGAAGCGGGAAGAGCUCAAAUUUGAAAUCUUCAAGGUUCUACCUUGACGAAUUGUAGUUUAUAGAAGUGUUUUCUGUUAGUAGAGUGGCAAAAGUUCUUUGGAAUAGGACAUCAUAGAGGGUGAGAAUCCCGUAUUUGGUCAUUCUCUCUAGCUUUGUGAUACACUUUCAACGAGUCGGAUUGUUUGGGAAUGCAGUCCAAAAUGGGUGGUAAAUUUCAUCUAAAGCUAAAUAUUGGCGAGAGACCGAUAGCGAACAAGUACCGUGAGGGAAAGAUGAAAAGAACUUUGAAAAGAGAGUUAAACAGUACGUGAAAUUGUCAAAAGGGAAGCGUUUGACACCAGUGUUGUUUUUCCGAAAAUCAAUUAAGAAUGGCCGGAUUUUAAGUUUCAUGACCUUAAAAGCUUGUUUCUUAUUUUUCUUGUCUUUCUUAAUGCACUUUUCGGUUAACAAGUCAACAUCAAUUUCUUUUGUUGUAAAAGGUUAAGAGGAAGGUGGCUUUACUUUCGGGUAAAGUGUUUAUAGCCUUUUAACUCUGCAAUCGGAGAGAUUGAGGUCUGCAGCGUAGAUCCUUCGGGGCUAGAUACGUUUGUGCUAAGUUAUAGCUUUUCAUAGACAACUUGUUGACUAUGUUUAGUCUUGUAGCUUACUCGCAUGCGCUAUUUUACCUACGCUUAGGAUGUUGAACUCUAUCACACACAG
rnacentral:rRNA from 1 species